rnacentral:rRNA from 1 species
CCAUAGCAGGUGAUAGCCCUGUAGACGAAAACAGCGAGGAAGAACUGGGUGUACGAGAAGUAGGGCGGGACACGUGAAAUCCUGUCUGAAGAUGGGGGGACCAUCCUCCAAGGCUAAAUACUCGUGAUCGACCGAUAGUGAACCAGUACCGUGAGGGAAAGGCGAAAAGAACCCCGGGAGGGGAGUGAAAUAGAUCCUGAAACCGCAUGCAUACAAACAGUAGGAGCCUCCUUGAGGGGUGACUGCGUACCUUUUGUAUAAUGGGUCAGCGACUUACAUUCAGUGGCAAGCUUAACCGAUUAGGGCAGGCGUAGCGAAAGCGAGUCCGAACAGGGCGAUUCAGUCGCUGGGUGUAGACCCGAAACCAGGUGAUCUAUCCAUGGCCAGGAUGAAGGUGCGGUAACACGUACUGGAGGUCCGAACCCACUAACGUUGAAAAGUUAGGGGAUGAGCUGUGGAUAGGGGUGAAAGGCUAAACAAACCUGGAAAUAGCUGGUUCUCUCCGAAAACUAUUUAGGUAGUGCCUCGUGUAUCACCUUCGGGGGUAGAGCACUGUCAUGGUUGUGGGGUCCAUUGCGGAUUACUACGCCAUAGCAAACUCCGAAUACCGAAGAGUGCAAUCACGGGAGACAGACAUCGGGUGCUAACGUCCGGUGUCAAGAGGGAAACAACCCAGACCGCCAGCUAAGGUCCCCAAAUAUUGCUAAGUGGGAAACGAAGUGGGAAGGCUAAAACAGUCAGGAGGUUGGCUUAGAAGCAGCCAUCCUUUAAAGAAAGCGUAAUAGCUCACUGAUCGAGUCGUCCUGCGCGGAAGAUGUAACGGGGCUAAGCAAUAUACCGAAGCUGCGGAUGCACAUUUAUGUGCAUGGUAGGAGAGCGUUCCGUAAGCCUGCGAAGGUGCAUUGAAAAGUGCGCUGGAGGUAUCGGAAGUGCGAAUGCUGACAUGAGUAGCGAUAAAGGGGGUGAAAAGCCCCCUCGCCGUAAGCCCAAGGUUUCCUACGCAACGUUCAUCGGCGUAGGGUGAGUCGGCCCCUAAGGCGAGGCAGAAAUGCGUAGCUGAUGGGAAGCAGGUUAAUAUUCCUGCACCAUUGUUAAAUGCGAUGGGGGGACGGAUCGCGGAAGGUUGUCCGGGUGUUGGAAGUCCCGGUCCUUGCAUUGGAGAAGGCGCUUAGGCAAAUCCGGGCGCGGAAUUCAAGGGUGCGAGGCCAUUCACUUAGGUGAAGAAGCAAUCGGAAGUGGUUCCAAGAAAAGCCUCUAAGCUUCAGUUUAACAAGACCGUACCGCAAACCGACACAGGUGGGCGAGAUGAGUAUUCUAAGGCGCUUGAGAGAACUCGGGAGAAGGAACUCGGCAAAUUGGUACCGUAACUUCGGGAUAAGGUACGCCCCUGUAGCUUGAUGCCCCUGCGGGCAGAGGGUGAAGGGGUUGCAAUAAACUGGUGGCUGCGACUGUUUAAUAAAAACACAGCACUCUGCAAACACGAAAGUGGACGUAUAGGGUGUGACGCCUGCCCGGUGCCGGAAGAUUAAAUGAUGGGGUGCAAGCUCUUGAUUGAAGUCCCGGUAAACGGCGGCCGUAACUAUAACGGUCCUAAGGUAGCGAAAUUCCUUGUCGGGUAAGUUCCGACCUGCACGAAUGGCGUAACGAUGGCCACACUGUCUCCUCCCGAGACUCAGCGAAGUUGAAGUGUUUGUGAUGAUGCAAUCUCCCCGCGGCUAGACGGAAAGACCCCAUGAACCUUUACUGUAGCUUUGCAUUGGACUUUGAACCGAUCUGUGUAGGAUAGGUGGGAGGCUAUGAAGCGUGGACGCCAGUCUGCGUGGAGCCAACCUUGAAAUACCACCCUGGUUUGUUUGAGGUUCUAACCUUGGUCCGUUAUCCGGACUGGGGACAGUGCAUGGUAGGCAGUUUGACUGGGGCGGUCUCCUCCCAAAGUGUAACGGAGGAGUACGAAGGUACGCUAGGUACGGUCGGAAAUCGUGCUGAUAGUGCAAUGGCAUAAGCGUGCUUAACUGCGAGACCGACAAGUCGAGCAGGUGCGAAAGCAGGUCAUAGUGAUCCGGUGGUUCUGUAUGGAAGGGCCAUCGCUCAACGGAUAAAAGGUACUCUGGGGAUAACAGGCUGAUACCGCCCAAGAGUUCAUAUCGACGGCGGUGUUUGGCACCUCGAUGUCGGCUCAUCUCAUCCUGGGGCUGUAGCCGGUCCCAAGGGUAUGGCUGUUCGCCAUUUAAAGAGGUACGUGAGCUGGGUUUAAAACGUCGUGAGACAGUUUGGUCCCUAUCUGCCGUGGGCGCUGGAUAUUUGAAGGGGGCUGCUCCUAGUACGAGAGGACCGGAGUGGACGAACCUCUGGUGUACCGGUUGUCACGCCAGUGGCAUCGCCGGGUAGCUAUGUUCGGAAGAGAUAACCGCUGAAAGCAUCUAAGCGGGAAACUCGCCUUAAGAUGAGAUAUCCCCGGGGCUUUAAGCCCCUUGAAGGGUCGUUCAAGACCAGGACGUUGAUAGGUCAGGUGUGGAAGCGCAGUAAUGCGUUAAGCUAACUGAUACUAAUUGCCCGUAAGGCUUGAUCC